UUAUGGGGUACAGAUUUAAUUAUUGGUCUUUCUUUUUCAUAAAUAUUGCUAGGAACUGUCCCGAAUUUGACAAAUUGAAAUUGAAGGUUCAGGAAAUUUGCAGGCGAUUCACUUCACAAUGGGCAAAUCCAUAAAUCUGAAAGGAUUGGGAGUAUACUAUUGUUUUUGGUGUUAUUUGCCGCGUGAUCCAGAGGUCAAAAGUUUGAAUCAUAUAAUCAGCCUCUUGUAAAUGCAAGAUGAGGCUACCUGAACCCUGUGCAUGGAGCUUUAUAGCACCUGGAUUGAGCUUUGGGAAAUAACUUGAGGAACCAUGUGGAUUUACAGCACUAAUGCUUGGUGCUCUUUGCAGUGCUCUAUGGUUUUGUGUUUUGACUGCCAAAAUGUAGGUAGCUUUGGAGAUGGCAGGCAAGUGAAAUUCAAUUGGUGGUCUUUAACUAAAUGUACGGGAUUGGAUCCUGAUUAUUUUUGUUGUGUUGAAAGCUAUCUCACUGUUCAUUUUGCUUCAAUCUUUUUCAUCAUGUAAGUUGAGCUUUGAGAUUUGAGUACUGAAUUAGUGAUUUGCUUUAUGCUCAGUGUUUAAGUAUUGUCACUUUCAUGCCCUAUUAAAUUAAUAAUUUUCUUUAGUUGUUUUGUGUUCUACUUUUACUACUUUAAUGGGAAGACCAUCAAUAUUUCAAUCUUCAGGAUGAUUGAGAAACUGACUUCAGGCUUUUCUACAGAAUGUGUAAAGGACCAACUCUCAGUAAAAAAUUGAACUUUCAGGUGAAGGUUCAAAAUUGGUUUCAUAUAUAUUUUAACACGCCAUCUCAAACUCAGGUGAAGGAAGGCUCAAAGUUUAGACUUACUUUACGUUGUGCUGGAAUUUAACCUUCAUAGAAGAGCGGAGAUGACAAAAAUGGAAUUUUUGACCACUUGAUUGUGGAGUAAAGCGCAACUACACAGCAUAGCAAUGGGCAGACUUAUCUUUUGCUUACAAAUAAUAAGAUGGGAGCAAUGGAGGCCCAUGGAACUAUCAACUCGCUAAUACCCAACUUAAUCCAAUUAAAACUCUUAUAUGAACUAGUCGUGCAAGGUCUUCAGCAACUCCAACUUUUCAAUUCACGAUGGAAUGUCAUGAUUCAUUCAAAUCUAUAAAUUUUUUCAU